rnacentral:rRNA from 1 species
GAUGAACGCUGGCGGCGUGCCUAAUACAUGCAAGUCGAGCGAACAGAUGAGGAGCUUGCUCCUCUGACGUUAGCGGCGGACGGGUGAGUAACACGUGGAUAACCUACCUAUAAGACUGGGACAACUUCGGGAAACCGGAGAUAAUACCGGAUAAUAUAUUGAACCGCAUGGAUCAAUAGUGAAAGACGGCUUUGCUGACACUGAUAGAUGGAUCCGCGCCGCAUUAGCUAGUUGGUAAGGUAACGGCUUACCAAGGCAACGAUGCGUAGCCGAACUGAGAGGGUGAUCGGCCACACUGGAACUGAGACACGGUCCAGACUCCUACGGGAGGCAGCAGUAGGGAAUCUUCCGCAAUGGGCGAAAGCCUGACGGAGCAACGCCGCGUGAGUGAUGAAGGUCUUCGGAUCGUAAAACUCUGUUGUUAGGGAAGAACAAGUGUGUAAGUAACUGUGCACGUCUUGACGGUACCUAAUCAGAAAGCCACGGCUAACUACGUG